GAUGAACGCUGGCGGCGUGCCUAAUACAUGCAAGUCGAGCGAACGGACGAGAAGCUUGCUUCUCUGAUGUUAGCGGCGGACGGGUGAGUAACACGUGGAUAACCUACCUAUAAGACUGGGAUAACUUCGGGAAACCGGAGCUAAUACCGGAUAAUAGUUUGAACCGCAUGGUUCAAAAGUGAAAGACGGUCUUGCUGUCACUUAUAGAUGGAUCCGCGCUGCAUUAGCUAGUUGGUGAGGUAACGGCUUACCAAGGCAACGAUGCAUAGCCGACCUGAGAGGGUGAUCGGCCACACUGGAACUGAGACACGGUCCAGACUCCUACGGGAGGCAGCAGUAGGGAAUCUUCCGCAAUGGGCGAAAGCCUGACGGAGCAACGCCGCGUGAGUGAUGAAGGUCUUCGGAUCGUAAAACUCUGUUAUUAGGGAAGAACAUAUGUGUAAGUAACUGUGCACAUCUUGACGGUACCUAAUCAGAAAGCCACGGCUAACUACGUG
rnacentral:rRNA from 1 species